rnacentral:rRNA from 1 species
GACGAACGCUGGCGGCGUGCUUAACACAUGCAAGUCGAGCGGUAAGGCCCUUCGGGGUACGACGAGCGGCGAACGGGUGAGUAACACGUGGGUGACCUGCCUCUAGCUCUGGGAUAAGCCUGGGAAACUGGGUCUAAUACCGGAUAUGACUCCACGGCGCAUGUUGUGGGGUGGAAAGCCUUGUGUGGCUAGAGAUGGGCCCGCGGCCUAUCAGCUUGUUGGUGGGGUGAUGGCCUGCCAAGGCGACGACGGGUAGCCGGCCUGAGAGGGCGACCGGCCACACUGGGACUGAGACACGGCCCAGACUCCUACGGGAGGCAGCAGUGGGGAAUAUUGGACAAUGGGCGAAAGCCUGAUCCAGCGAUGCCGCGUGUGUGAAGAAGGCCUGCGGGUUGUAAAG